rnacentral:rRNA from 1 species
AUUUUCUGCCCCCGAAUACAUUAGCAUGGGAUAAUGGAAUAGGACCCUGUCCUCCUAUUUUCAGUUGGUUUUGGCAGCGCGAGGACUAGGGUAAUGAUUAAUAGGGAUAGUUGGGGGCAUUAAUAUUUAAUUGUCAGAGGUGAAAUUCUUGGAUUUAUGAAAGAUUAACUUCUGCGAAAGCAUCUGCCAAGGAUGUUUUCAUUAAUCAAGAACGAAAGUUAGGGGAUCGAAGACGAUCAGAUACCGUCGUAGUCUUAACCAUAAACGAUGCCGACCAGCGAUUAGGAGACGUUGAAUACAAAACACCACCAUCGGCGCGGUCGUCCNUGG